AUUGAACGCUGGCGGCAGGCCUAACACAUGCAAGUCGAACGAGUGGCGGAGGGGUGAGUAAUGUCUGGGACACUGCCUGAUGGAGGGGGAUAACUACUGGAAACGGUAGCUAAUACCGCAUACCAUAAGGUGUGCCCCGAUGGGAUGAGCUUGUUGGUGGGGUAACGGCUCACCAAGGCGACGAUCCGUAGCUGGUCUGAGAGGGUGACCCGCCACACUGGAACGUAGACACGGUCCAGACCCCUACGUGAGGCAGCAGUGGGGAAUAUUGCACAAUGGGCGCAAGCCUGAUGCAGCCAUGCCGCGUGUAUGAAGAAGGCCUUCGGGUUGUAAAGUACUGUCGGCGGGGAGGCGUUAUCCGCAGAAGAAGCACCGGCUAACUCCGUGCCAGCAGCCGCGGUAAUUC
rnacentral:rRNA from 1 species